rnacentral:rRNA from 1 species
AGAGUUUGACCUGGCUCAGGAUGAACGCUAGCGACAGGCUUAACACAUGCAAGUCGAGGGGCAGCGGGGAAGUAGCAAUACUUCCGCCGGCGACCGGCGCACGGGUGAGUAACACGUAUGGAACCUGCCCGUAGCAGGGGGAUAAGCGGAAGAAAUUCCGUCUAAUAUCGCGUAAUAACUCCGAGAGGCAUCUCCUGGGGUUUAAAGGGUAACACCGGCUACGGAUGGCCAUGCGGCGCAUUAGCUAGUUGGCGGGGUAACGGCCCACCAAGGCGACGAUGCGUAGGGGUUCUGAGAGGAAGGUCCCCCACACUGGUACUGAGACACGGCCCAGACUCCUACGGGAGGCAGCAGUGGGGAAUAUUGGGCAAUGGGCGCAAGCCUGACCCAGCAACGCCGCGUGAAGGAAGAAGGCUUUCGGGUUGUAAACUUCUUUUCUCAGGGACGAAGCAAGUGACGGUACCUGAGGAAUAAGCCACGGCUAACUACGUGCCAGCAGCCGCGGUAAUACGUAGGUGGCAAGCGUUAUCCGGAUUUACUGGGUGUAAAGGGCGUGUAGGCGGGACUGCAAGUCAGAUGUGAAAACCACGGGCUCAACCUGUGGCCUGCAUUUGAAACUGUAGUUCUUGAGUACUGGAGAGGCAGACGGAAUUCCUAGUGUAGCGGUGAAAUGCGUAGAUAUUAGGAGGAACACCAGUGGCGAAGGCGGUCUGCUGGACAGCAACUGACGCUGAGGCGCGAAAGCGUGGGGAGCAAACAGGAUUAGAUACCCUGGUAGUCCACGCUGUAAACGAUGGAUACUAGGUGUGGGGGGACUGACCCCCUCCGUGCCGCAGUUAACACAAUAAGUAUCCCACCUGGGGAGUACGAUCGCAAGGUUGAAACUCAAAGGAAUUGACGGGGGCCCGCACAAGCGGUGGAGUAUGUGGUUUAAUUCGAAGCAACGCGAAGAACCUUACCAGGGCUUGACAUCCCGGUGACCGCUCUCGAGAUAGAGCUUUCUCUUCGGAGACAUCGGUGACAGGUGGUGCAUGGUUGUCGUCAGCUCGUGUCGUGAGAUGUUGGGUUAAGUCCCACAACGAGCGCAACCCUUAUUGUUAGUUGCUACGCAAGAGCACUCUAGCGAGACUGCCGUUGACAAAACGGAGGAAGGUGGGGACGACGUCAAAUCAUCAUGCCCCUUAUGUCCUGGGCCACACACGUACUACAAUGGUGGUCAACAGAGGGAAGCAAUACCGCGAGGUGGAGCAAAUCCCUAAAAGCCAUCCCAGUUCGGAUCGCAGGCUGCAACCCGCCUGCGUGAAGUUGGAAUCGCUAGUAAUCGCGGAUCAGCAUGCCGCGGUGAAUACGUUCCCGGGCCUUGUACACACCGCCCGUCA